rnacentral:tRNA from 1 species
GGCAGCAUGGCAUAGUGGCAACGCACUAGACUGGGACUCCAGAGACCUGGGUUCUAGUUCCAGCUCUGGCCU